rnacentral:rRNA from 1 species
GACGAACGCUGGCGGCGUGCUUAACACAUGCAAGUCGAACGGAAAGGCCCUGCUUUUGUGGGGUGCUCGAGUGGCGUACGGGUGAGUAACACGUGAGUAACCUGCCCUUGACUUUGGGAUAACUUCAGGAAACUGGGGCUAAUACCGGAUAGGAGCUCCUGCUGCAUGGUGGGGGUUGGAAAGUUUCGGCGGUUGGGGAUGGACUCGCGGCUUAUCAGCUUGUUGGUGGGGUAGUGGCUUACCAAGGCUUUGACGGGUAGCCGGCCUGAGAGGGUGACCGGCUACAUUGGGACUGAGAUACGGCCCAGACUCCUACGGGAGGCAGCAGUGGGGAAUAUUGCACAAUGGGCGGAAGCCUGAUGCAGCAACGCCGCGUGCGGGAUGACGGCCUUCGGGUUGUAAACCGCUUUCGCCUGUGACGAAGCGUGAGUGACGGUAAUGGGUAAAGAAGCACCGGCUAACUACGUG